GACAGAGGAUGCAAGCGUUAUCCGGAAUGAUUGGACGUAAAGCGUCUGUAGGUGGCUUUUUAAGUCCGCCGUCAAAUCCCCAGGGCUCAACCCUGGACAGGCGGUGGAAACUACCAAGCUGGAGUACGGUAGGGGCAGAGGGAAUUUCCAGUGGAGCGGUGAAAUGCGUAGAUCUUGGAAAGACCACCAAUGGCGAAGGCACUCUACUGGGCCGUGACUGACACUAAGAGACGAAAGCUAGGGGAGCAAAUGGG
rnacentral:rRNA from 1 species